CAUAAGUGCAAUCAUAAGUUUCCAUGCCAAUUUUAAUUGUCCGAUUUAUUUGAUUUUUCUAUAAUUAGUAUUUUUAGUGUUGUGAGAUGAUAAAACAUGAAUAGUACUUUAUGCGUGACUUAUGUUUUCAAAUUUUUUUAAAAAAUUUUUAAAUAAAAUGGACGAUAAAAUUAGGCACGAAAAAUCAUGAUUGCACUUAAA
rfam:Oryza meridionalis cultivar OR44 (W2112) chromosome 4, whole genome shotgun sequence.